GCUCAAUGUCACCCACUCGCAAAGUUGACCCUAGAGUUUAUUGAGUUUAGGAUGUGUGAUGAAUCAAUCCAUAUUGAAUAACUUUAGCAAAAAACCCAAAGGUAGUCUCCCAGAUAUUAUAUAAUUGCUCCCUUAUGACAAUUUUUUAAAGAUGAGAAAAAAUGCAUCAUUACCUACUGGUAGAUAGAGGACUCCUUUUUGUGGAAGUAGACUUUCAAUUUUGGAAAAUAUUUUCAGAGUAACUUUUUGUAUUGAAAUAUCUUAGAAUUAAUAUACAUGUUUUAUCCAGAACCUACAAUUAACAAACGCUAUUCUUUACUCAAUCAAAUAUGAUUGUAGAUCAGUUUGGUUUUCAUUCCAUUAGUGUUUUUGUUUAAAGUAGUGUCAUACAUAUAUACCAAGAUAAUGCUUUUUUGAGGGAGACAUGAUAAAGUUUAUAAUGAGACAUCAUUAAUUAAUUCAUAUUAAUUGGAUUAUUUGUAGAUUACUGAGAGUCUUGGUCCUUUUCUACCUUGUUAUAAGAUCUGGCUUUUAGGAAAUUGUUUACAUAUGUUAUGUUUUAAAUGUGCAAACGUAUAGAUUUUAAAUGUCUGUGAUAAGCUGGUAUAUAUUAUAGAUGAUUUACAAGUUGGAUUUUUUGGUGGGAAGUUUCUGAUUUUAUUAUUUACAUCUGUCAAAUGUUAAUAUCAAAUUUUACUUGUAACAUUUCCCCCACUGUUAAUCAAAUUAUUAAACAUUAUGUAAGAAUGAAAGUGUUUCAGUGAAAACUGAGAGUCAACUUGAACAAUUUCCUCAUAGAUUCCUUGCUCAUUCUGUCGUUUUUACAUUAUUUAGAUCUCUUACAUUGUUAUGUUAGUUGAGGUAUAAUUUAUAAAUGGUGGUUGAUAUGCUUUAUGUAGUGGUCAAUUAUGUGUCAAAUCCAUAUUGUACAUUUUGAUAAUGUACCGAUACAUCGUAAUAUUUAUAUAUUUCUUAAUAAAGCAACUGCCAGAAUUACGG
rnacentral:misc_RNA from 1 species